UCGAAUCGCUAAGUUCAGAACCGAACUAUAAAAGCAGUUUCCUUCGUUUUAACUGCUUAUAUUUAAGUUCAGGUUCACUGGCAGCGGGUACACAAACUCGACGGUGCCAGGCCUAACCUUCACUGAACAGGAUCAACAAUGGCUUAAACUUUGUGUGCACAUCUUGAGAGGGCUGAAGCUCGUGCAUUUCAACUAUGAAGGUAUGUUUCAACUCAUUUUAAGCGUGGUAUUAAUAACAUGUACCAAUAAAUGCACUGCAGCUAUUGUGUUGUUGGUUCGACGGCCGAUUGCAUGGCCUUCGGACGAACGAUGGUCGGCAUGCCGAUUUUGUUGGUGCCGUUGACAAGAAAGCCCAUCGCCCUAUCUAAUUAGGGCUCGUCCGUUGUGUUGUUGUCAACCUGGUAUGACGAGGUGGUCUCGGUGACAUAUUGUGCUCAAAAGUCGGCCAAUUGUUGCCGCCAGCGUCUUACCAGUCUCGUAUCGAUCUACCCAAUGUUACCUCGCCCUAACCGAGCACGUUUAUAAUGCGUUUAGCACGGCAUGCGCUGCCACCGCCAGCAAGUGAGGGCAGACGCUACAAGAAGACUUCGUCAGCAAUGUGACAGUCUUGAAGUACCGGCCAAGUGCAACACAGGGUUUUUUUAAAAUAAAUUUACCAGUCAACAAUGAAGGCCAGCAACUACAUGGUUCGUGGUGCAGUCUGGAUGAACCCCUGGCCUCCUUAUGUUUUAACGUGGAGUUGCAGUAUGCUACACACGCUUUCAGAACUACGCCGACAUAAAGCUACCAGUGGAGUUUCAACGCAGUACGCGGCAAAAGUGUUUGCAGCAGUGCGAGUCUGUGUACCUAAUUUUUUUCUGGAGAAAGAUCGAGCCAUGCGGCUGUGUGUGCAAUACUUCCAAAACGUUUUGCAACUAAUCCACCAGGACAGAGUGCAUGUGACGUCAUGCCGUGAAAAAGGCACAUUGUACACCUGACAGUAGCACGAAUCUAGAAUGGAAGCCCAUAUGCGAUUCUCUGAAAGCAAGCUACACUGUUGAGUUCGUCCUUGUCCGAGGGCACUGAACAUGGGACUAAUGCUUUUCUGAGGCAGUUGCUGUAACGUCUAAGCUAACAAGGAUGUCAGCAAAUAGCGAAGCAAGGCCAAAUUAAUUGACAAUCCAAAGCACAGGGACACAGAAUAUAGGUGAUCACUUCGGCAGAAAUCUGCAAGCCAAAGAAGUCCCAUGAAAAAAAAAAAAAAAAAAAAGGAACUGUCAUCCACUUGACAGUAGCAUGAAGCUACAAACUUCAUAGCUAGAGCUUGAAACUACAAAGUGUCAAGCUUUCAUAUUUUUCAUGCUUUCGCAGUUCUUUGUGGUUUCACGCUGUAGCUUUGAAGUUUGUAGGUUCGUGCUACUGACAGGUGGAUGACAGUUUUUACCAGUUAUACAACUUACACCUUGUGAACUCCUGGAUAACUUCUGGCUUUCUUCCAAGCAAGCCAGAAAGGAUAACUUCCUUUCUGGCUUGCCGCACCUGACAUCAUGGCAAGAGUAAUCUAUAUCGCUUUCCCAAAGAGCAAUAAAUCAACCUACGUUAAACUGACAUUUGUCUUCAGUGUCUAUAGAAAUAACAGAAAAAAAGAA